AGUUAUUUAGCUUAUAAAAUAGUAUAUAUUUUGAAAGUAUAAGAAAGAGAAAUUUAAUAACUU
rnacentral:tRNA from 1 species